UGUUUACAUGAAAACAUACCCAAAAUAACAGAGUAGCAGGACAGCAAAAAGCAAGACCUGGCUGUCAAAAUGACGGUGGACAGCUGAAGAGGCGCUGAAAGCAUUUUUUUGAACGAGCGGCCUCGCGACGCUGCAGCUGAUGGUCGUCUCAAACAGCUGAUGCAGCAGCAGGAGGACAGACAGGACAGCGACUGUUACUGAGUGAAACUGUGUCUCCAAAACCGAGGGACACGACAGGCGCUCUGCACCGACGCACGGGUAAGAUUGGAAGAAAAAAGCUGAAUGCAGUGUGCUGGAUGGGAUUAAGCUGCUGGACGCGAGGA